GGGGAUCUGAAAUUCUGACGGGGUGCCAGUUGAAAUUUCCAAGGGGGGUUGUAUAAAAAGGGAAAUAUCUGAAGGGGUCAAAUUUUUUUUUAAGUUUCAAAGGGGUCAGUUUUUUUUUAAUUUCCGAGGGUGGGGAGAAGGAAGGUAUACCUGUUGACGAAAAUUUCUGAGGGGGUGGUCAAUAAAUUCCUGAAAAUUUCUGAGGGAGGUGAAUAAAUUCCCGAAACUUUCCGAGGGGGUAUAUCGUAAUGGAACAAUGUCAACAGUUAUUUCCGAGGGGCUUGAGAAAAAUUGUAAAACAUUUCUAAGAAAAUUUCCGAGGAGUUCUUCUGGAAAACCAUUUCCGAAGGGGUCUAAAAUCAGUAACAUUGUCAACAGGGAGGUGUGGACACUAAAAGAAUGGCCAUAAACAAGCAUAUAUUUGUUUAUACACUAUUAAAAUAAUUAAUAUAUACUACUCAAGUCUGUCAAGAUAUUAAUUUACAUAUUCUGAAUGGCUAAACUUGACUUCGAACAUUUUUUGUCGCUGACUUACACUAAAUAAAAAUCACUGUUAUUUUGCAUUUAGGCCAAAAAAAAAUAUGUGGGUUUCCG
rnacentral:lncRNA from 1 species